GGGAUUGUAACCGGUAAUUGGUAGCCGCGCAGACUGUAAAUCUGCUCUCUUUUGAGACUGGAGGUUCGAGUCCUCCCAAUCCCA
rnacentral:tRNA from 3 species